rnacentral:lncRNA from 1 species
CUGCGCCGCGAAGCUCCCAAUUCAACCAGACAGAGCUUCUGUUUUUGUGUAUAAACUCGAAAUCCUCUUCAUCAACACAAUACACCACAUCCACACAAUACACCACAUCCUUCAUAUAGCCUAGUCGUUAUUAUCGUAAUGCAAUCUCUAGAUUGAGUGUGUGUAUGUGCGUGUGUGUACGUGUGAGAUAGAGUGCCCGUGUGUUUGCUUGAAUGUGCUGUUUCUGUAUCACGUACAUGUGUGUGUUUAGAGUGAGCUGAUUCAGUGUCAGUGUGUGGACAUGAGUUAGACAGGUAGAUCAGUAUGAUAAAAUGGGCGCGCGCACUCUCGGACAAACGAGCGAAGUAUCGUAAUGGGUUCAGCAGGUGGAGCCCUAAUUCAGUAAACUGGUUCAGUUUACUGUUCCUGAAAUGAGAUGAACGUGAGAUUGACAGAGCCGCUCAAAAACAGCUCCGCUUCAAGUUAGCUUCAACAAUGCGAUAGUUAGACAGAUGAAGUCAACAAGUCUCGCUUACUUUUUAGUCUUGUCUUCAAUUAUAGACGCGCAUCGCUGAGGCGUGUGUCAGUGUUUGUGUGAGAGAGAAGUUAACCAUCUUUUUUAGAGUUGUCAAGAUAUUUCAUUUGCCUGUAUCAACAACCUUUUUGUCAAGUGUGCUGUUGGACCAUUCAAGAGGAACACAUGAAUCGCAAAAUUGGUGCACAUGUUGCUCACUUGUUGCAUUUUAUUCGCUAAUUAAUAUCAGUGUGGAAGACUUCAUUCGUCAAGAUGGUAGAAAACGGAUCGCAAAAGUGUCAAAUAGCCUAGUGACUGAGGUAGGUUACUUAUUAUUUUGUCCACUCUUGUAUUUUGUACAAUUUGAAUUUGCAAUAUCAUCUUGAAUCCUUGGUUUACAUUUUAAUGGAAGAAUUGGGGCGAUGUUUUAGCGCGUGUGAAAUGUCAACGAGCUUUUGCAUUUACACACGUUGUUGAUAAUGCAUGUAUACCUGUUGCGUUGUCUUGUGCUUCAGAAUUAACUCGAAAGUGAUGAUGCACCUCAAAACGCGCUCAGUGCUGAAUGUUGUAAAAUUCAUGAUUGUUUUUCCUUACAUAACAGAUGGACCUAUAGAAUCUGGAACUGAAAUAGAGACAGAUGGACCUGAAAUAAGUUUUUCGACAGUGACAGCCACAGACACCCUGCAUCAAUAGACACACGGAUCAGCAGACACUCAGAUCAACAGACACUCAGAUCAACAGACACACGGGUCAACAGACACUCAGACAUGCAGAUCUACAGACACACGGAUCAACAGACACUCAGACGUGCAGAUCAACAGGCACUCUGAUCAACAGAGACACGGAUCAACAGGCACUCUGAUCAACAGACACACUGAUCAACAGACACUUAGACAGACAUAUCAACAGACACUCAGAUCAACAGAGAAGUUCAUAUCAUUGUUGUUUCCCCCUCUAUUCUUAAAACACAUUGUGGAUCUUAUGAUUUAAAGUUAUGAGUAGCUUUCAGCAUACCUUUACUAUAUCGGGCCCAUAUUCACAAAGUGUCUCAGAAUAGGGCUACUGAUCUAGGAUCAGUUUAGCCUUUUAAAUCAUAAUGAAUAAAAUGGAGGACCUGAUUUGUGGCCUCCGGGCCUUGAGUCACUGAUCUGAAGUACAUGAGUGUUAUUCAGAUAGUUACAAAUGUUAUACGUGUCUCAGUGUGGUUAUAAAGUAUCCUUUGGCUAGCCUUGUCCUAUUCCUUCCCUUCUCUUUGAUGUCAUAGUGAUACUCUUUAGGUCUCUUCAAGGUGUGUGUGUGUGUGUGUGUGUGUGUGUGCGCCCCCCACCAUUUCCUCUGAAAACACACUCUACAUGCUAUUCUGCUGCCUCUGGGUAAUUCCCGUAGCUGUUUUUCUUUUCAAAGAUGAAAGGAAAUGG